rnacentral:tRNA from 1 species
UGGUUCACUUGGUAAGAGCGUGGCACUAGCAACGCCAGGGUCGUGGGUUCGAUUCCCAC